UUCCGGUUGAUCCCGCCGGACCUGACUGCUAUCGGAUUGAUACUAAGCCAUGCGAGUCUUUGCAGUAAUGCAAGGCAUACGGCUCAGUAACACGUAGUCAACCUACCCUAUGGACGAGAAUAAUCUCGGGAAACUGAGCAUAAUUCUUGAUAGAUCAUAAUGCCUGGAAUGGUUUAUGGUUAAAAUGAUUCGUCGCCAUAGGAUGGGACUGCGGCCUAUCAGCUUGUUGGUGAGGUAAUGGCCCACCAAGGCGAUUACAGGUACGGGCUCUGAGAGGAGAAGCCCGGAGAUGGGUACUGAGACACGGACCCAGGCCCUAUGGGGCGCAGCAGGCGAGAAAACUUUGCAAUGUGCGAAAGCACGACAAGGUUAAUCCGAGUGAUUUCUGCUAAAGAAAUCUUUUACCAGUCGUAAAACCGCUGGUGAAUAAGGGGUGGGCAAGUUCUGGUGUCAGCCGCCGCGGUAAAACCAGCACCUCAAGUGGUCAGGAUGAUUAUUGGGCCUAAAGCAUCCGUAGCCUGCUUUGUAAGUUUUCGGUUAAAUCCAUGUGCUCAACGCAUGGGCUGCCGAAAAUACUGCAUAGCUAGGGAGUGGGAGAGGUAGACGGUACUCGGUAGGUAGGGGUAAAAUCCUUUGAUCUGUUGAUGACCACCUGUGGCGAAGGCGGUCUACCAGAACACGUUCGACGGUGAGGGAUGAAAGCUGGGGGAGCAAACCGGAUUAGAUACCCGGGUAGUCCCAGCUGUAAACGAUGCAGACUUGAUGAUGCAUUGGCAUGAUAGCCAUUGCAGUGUCGCAGGGAAGCCGUUAAGUCUGCCGCCUGGGAAGUACGUACGCAAGUAUGAAACUUAAAGGAAUUGGCGGGGGAGCACCACAAGGGGUGAAGCCUGCGGUUCAAUUGGAAUCAACGCCGGA
rnacentral:rRNA from 1 species